UGGGGAAUAUUGGACAAUGGGCGCAAGCCUGAUCCAGCCAUGCCGCGUGAGUGAUGAAGGCCUUAGGGUUGUAAAGCUCUUUCGCCGGUGAAGAUAAUGACGGUAACCGGAGAAGAAGCCCCGGCUAACUUCGUGCCAGCAGCCGCGGUAAUACGAAGGGGGCUAGCGUUGCUCGGAAUUACUGGGCGUAAAGCGUGCGUAGGUGGUUGUUUAAGUCUGAUGUGAAAGCCCUGGGCUCAACCUGGGAAUGGCAUUGGAAACUGGGCAGCUAGAGUGCGGUAGAGGGUAGUGGAAUUCCCGGUGUAGCAGUGAAAUGCGUAGAGAUCGGGAGGAACAUCUGUGGCGAAGGCGACUGCCUGGACCAGCACUGACACUGAGGCACGAAAGCGUGGGGAGCAAACA
rnacentral:rRNA from 1 species